GUGGGGAAUUUUGGACAAUUGGCGGGAGCCUGAACCAGCCAAGUCGCGUGAAGGAAGAAGGAUCUAUGGUUCGUAAACUUCUUUUGCAGGGGAAUAAAGUGCAGGACGUGUCCUGUUUUGUAUGUACCCUGAGAAUAAGGAUCGGCUAACUCCGUGCCAGCAGCCGCGGUAAUACGGAGGAUCCGAGCGUUAUCCGGAUUUAUUGGGUUUAAAGGGUGCGUAGGUGGUUUGAUAAGUCAGCGGUGAAAGUUUGCAGCUUAACUGUAAAAAUGCCGUUGAAACUGUCGGACUUGAGUGUAAAUGAGGUAGGCGGAAUGCGUGGUGUAGCGGUGAAAUGCAUAGAUAUCACGCAGAACUCCGAUUGCGAAGGCAGCUUACUAAGCUACAACUGACACUGAAGCACGAAAGCGUGGGGAUCAAACAGGAUUAGAUACCCUGGUAGUCC
rnacentral:rRNA from 1 species